rnacentral:RNase_P_RNA from 1 species
UGAGUAGGCGGGACGGUCGCCUGUGGCUGGGGCGUUCUUAGGACGUGCCGAGCUGCGGGAGGAAAGUCCGGGCUCCGCAGGGCAGGGUGGUCGGUAACGCCGACCGGCCGUGAGGCUAGGGCCAGUGCAACAGAAAGCAAACCGCCGAACGGCAGGCUUGGCCAAGCGUCAAGCGUGUGCGUGGUAAGGGUGAAACGGUGCGGUAAGAGCGCACCAGCGGUCGAGGCGACUCGAUCGGCUAGGUAAACCCCACCCGGCGCCAGACCAAACAGGAAGCAUCGGAGACUUCGGUUUCCGGCGAGGCGGCCCGCCUCGGUAUGACUUUCGGGUAGGUCGCUUGAGGCGGCGAGCAAUCGUCGUCCCAGAUAAAUGACCGUCCUCCGCUCGGCCGCUUAACCGCGGCCCGGCGGGGACAGAACCCGGCUUACAAGCCUACUCACACC